GACGAACGCUGGCGGCGUGCCUAAUACAUGCAAGUUGAGCGAUGAAGAUUGGUGCCUGCACCAAUUUGAAGAGCAGCGAACGGGUGAGUAACGCGUGGGGAAUCUGCCUUUGAGCGGGGGACAACAUUUGGAAACGAAUGCUAAUACCGCAUAAUAACUUUAAACAUAAGUUUUAAGUUUGAAAGAUGCAAUUGCAUCACUCAAAGAUGAUCCCGCGUUGUAUUAGCUAGUUGGUGAGGUAAAGGCUCACCAAGGCGAUGAUACAUAGCCGACCUGAGAGGGUGAUCGGCCACAUUGGGACUGAGACACGGCCCAAACUCCUACGGGAGGCAGCAGUAGGGAAUCUUCGGCAAUGGACGAAAGUCUGACCGAGCAACGCCGCGUGAGUGAAGAAGGUUUUCGGAUCGUAAAACUCUGUUGGUAGAGAAGAACGUUGGUGAGAGUGGAAAGCUCAUCAAGUGACGGUAACUACCCAGAAAGGGACGGCUAACUACGU
rnacentral:rRNA from 1 species